CAGUUGGCUUCCCCAGGCGCAACGAGGCCGGAAAUGCUGGGCCCUUGGCCAGAGUCUGAUCUGACCUUCGCCCUCUGGUAGCAAAAAGUCUUUUUCACGUAGCACCUACUGGGGGUAGGAGGCAAAAAAGGGGCCACCGGGGAGCUCCUCCUACUCCUGGGCCUGCCCUUGCAGGUCAGCGCUGUUGCAGUGGGAGAGGGGCCACUGCCAGGCCAGUCAAGGGAGGCCCUUGCUUCAUGCGCAAAAUGUAAGGCAGGCCAAGAAAACUCAAGACCACAGGUAAGAAGACAGAGACACUGCAAAGAAGCAUCUGGCUUCAGAACUUGGGUCCAGUUAUCAUUAGAAGUGUUCUCUAGAUGACAGAGGAAUCCCAGGAUGAUGGCAAGAAAGCCCUGGCCUGCCAGGAACUAGAUCGAAUGCUCCUGGAGCUCUUCUGGCCCUGACCCACUGGACGAGGCACACGGCUGAGGCCUCCUUGUGGCACAGUCCUAGGACCAACCAUCCUUGGCUUCUGCAAGCCACAUCUGGGGUGCUUUGAGCUCCCAGGCCAUGUCGGGCUCAGCCCCCUUCCACUAGGCUGAGCUGCUGAGCGGCUGAUAUACUGUGGGCUCUCUCUCUUCAAAGCACCUCAGGACAGUCUCUUCUGGUGGUUUGAACAGUGACCUCCAAGCCUGUUCCUGCUUGGGCUCUAUCCUGGUCAGUCUUUGCUUGUGGACUAUUGUCUUUUAUUCUUUUUUAGAAUUUACUUAUUUGUUCAUGAGACGCAUGGAGAGAGAGGCAGAGACAUAGGCAGAGGGGGAAAGCAGGCUCCCUGCGGGGAGCGUGAUGCAGGACUCCAUCCCAGGAUCCCAGGAUCAUGACGUGAGCCAAAGGCAGCCGCUCAACCACUGAGCCACCCAGGUGCCCCGACUAUUGUCAUUUAAAUCAAUCUGCCUGCAGAAUUCUGGGAGAAGAAACCGAAGGCUCUGAGUCUUAUGUUACAGCCUUGAAACUUACAGUGAGGGAUGUAGGGGUUUUGAACAGUCCCAACCCUCUGUGAAGCUUGGAAUCCGACAAGGCCUACAGGUGGAAAUAGAUCCCUCAUGGUGACUUAUAUACCUUGGCCUUUACUUUGUAGCUAUUCUUUUAUUAAACCCUCAAGUCUUUCUACUUCAAGUGGAUAAUCUGCUUCCUACUAUUACCCUGGUGGGUACAGUAGCUCAAAAGAUACAAAACCAAACUAGUUUAAAAAAACAAAACAAAACAAAAAACACUUGUUUCAAUGGACCAGAGCUUGAAGCCCUGAGAUGGGCAGCUACGUGCUAAGACUGCUCAAGAUUUAGUGGCCCAUCUGUGCCUGGGCCUUCUGUUCCUGCUUCCCACAUUGGUCUUCCCUUCACAUCCCAGGCCCUGAGAUCCUGCGGCCUUGUUUGGGAGAAAGAGAGAACUCAAUCUUUCCUCAGGGAGGAAACCCAGAGCCAAAGGCCAUGGGCUCUGGGCCCCAGAGCCCUGGAGGUGAAAGGGAGAUCCCUCAUUUCAGGCUGGCUGUCCCCGCACUGGCCUGAGACCGAUGGCCAAUGUAAGGACCACCUGUCUUUGUCAGACUUUAGAGACUUUUUUUUUUUUGUUUUUUUAACUUUAGAGACUUUCUUAGGUAAUCUCUACUUUGUCUGAGUUUUCUGCUCACUCCACCCCAUCUGGGGGUCUCUCCUAUCUUUUCCUUCUGCUAAUGAUCAGUAGGCUGGCUGAGGCCCGGGAUGCCCUGUACUCCUUCCCCUUCUCACCAGGUAUGGACACAAUAAAGCUCCCUGCCCUGAAAAUAGCACCCGGUAUCCCCAUCAACUACUACUGAUCAUUGCUGAAAAUUCACCAUGAACCCCUAAGACUCUGAUGAGACAUAUUCCAGCGGCGUGUAUUGGAUGAAUUGGAACCACCAUAUAAAUGAGUUUAUCAGAGCUCUACCUGAGGAAAGAUCUUGAUAAAAGGAAGCACGUAUAAGUCACAGCUCUCAGCUCAGACUUGCACAAGUCUCACAGGGCAUUUAGGAGUCACUGAACGGAGAAGCCCAGGGUUACCUGCUUUGAGGCAUACAGCGUCCUGGGCAUCAGUGUCUCUUCACCUCUUGGUUCUAUUUCCCUCCCUGCUACUUCUAUUUCCAGCAGGCAGUCCUCACUGCAGGUGGUGACCACCAGAAAGGAUGACCAGCCCUGGUCUCCAGGCUCACUCCCGUCUUCUGGGAGAAAGCACGGAACCUUAUGCUUUAGCUCCUGCAGCCCCUGCGUGUUGCUGGCCUGCUCAGUCCUCACACUACUCACUCUGUGGCCUCAGACACGCCUCUCCCUUUCCAAUGAAACCAGCUCCUCCCCAGACAACAGGUACUGAGAGUUGGGGUGCUAUAGCCCCCCAAGGAGGAUCAGGGUGGUGCCAUCUGCCUAGAGAAGGGAGAGAGUGGGGAGGAGGGAGAGAUGGGCUUUGGGAAGCAAGGAGGAGAAACAGAGGCACAAUGCCUCACCCUUCUCCCUCCACCUGGCUCAGCUUCUCUGACCUUCCUAACCUUGUCUCCAGGCUCAGGCUCUUGCAGCCUCCAUGCCUCUCUGGUUGGGCAUUUCGGCAGCACACAGGAAUGUUUAUGGUCUCUUCCUCUCCACUAGAUGGAAAGCUCCUCCAGGCCAAAAGAUAUAUAUUACUUAAGUAAAUAACAAAUGCUCCCUGCUACUCUGAACUCUGUAAAAGUUGCUAACACGCACACAUAGUCCAGCAUGGAUAUCUCUAGUUAGUGGGUAGCCUUCCACAUGAUCAUUCCAGACUCUGAGGUCUUGGAGCAGCAUCCUCCCCUGGGGCCUUCUGAGAUAUCCAUGCACAUCUGGCUAGUGAGCACUUGAAAUGUGGCUAGUACAACCAAGAAACUGAAUUUUUAACUUGGACUUUGCAUCCAUUUAAAUUUAAAUAGCCACCAGCAUCUAGUGGCUGCCGUCUUGGCUGGCACAGCCUUGGAGCUCUCCAGUGGAUCUUCCUAUUCCAGCAGGAAGGCAGAGAAGAGGAGAAAUGUGGGAGAGGAUUCUGAGACAGGCCUGGGAAGUGGCAUUCACCUCUUCUGCUGAUGUUCUGAUGGCCCAAACCCACCACUUGACCACAGCUAACCGCAGUGGAGCCUGAGAGCUGUAAUCUUGCCGGUGGAG